rnacentral:rRNA from 1 species
GAUGAACGCUGGCGGCGUGCCUAAUACAUGCAAGUCGAGCGAGCGGACGAGAAGCUUGCUUCUCUGAUGUUAGCGGCGGACGGGUGAGUAACACGUGGAUAACCUACCUAUAAGACUGGGAUAACUUCGGGAAACCGGAGCUAAUACCGGAUAAUAUUUUGAACCGCAUGGUUCAAAAGUGAAAGACGGUCUUGCUGUCACUUAUAGAUGGAUCCGCGCUGCAUUAGCUAGUUGGUAAGGUAACGGCUUACCAAGGCAACGAUGCAUAGCCGACCUGAGAGGGUGAUCGGCCACCCUGGAACUGGGACACGGUCCAGACUCCUACGGGAGGCAGCAGUAGGGAAUCUUCCGCAAUGGGCGAAAGCCUGACGGAGCAACGCCGCGUGAGUGAUGAAGGUCUUCGGAUCGUAAAACUCUGUUAUUAGGGAAGAACAGAUGUGUAAGUAACUGUGCACAUCUUGACGGUACCUAAUCAGAAAGCCACGGCUAACUACGUG